rnacentral:lncRNA from 1 species
GCUUCCCUGGUGGCUCAGACAAUAAUGGAUCCGCCUGCACUGCGGGAGACUGGCUUCGGUCCCUGGGUUGGGAAGAUCCCCUGGAGGAAGGCAUGACAACCCACCUCGGUAUUCUUGCCUGUGGAAUCCCCAUGGGCAGAGUACAUGGACUACAGUCCAUGGGGUUGCAAAGAGACGGACACAGCUGAGCAACUAAGCACAGCACUGCACGUGGUAGUUUUAUUCCAAGUUUUAAAGGAAAUCUCCAUACUGUUCUCCAUAGUGGCUGUAUCAGCAUUCAUUCUCACAAACAGUAUAGGAGGAUUCCCUUUUCUCCACAUCCACUCCAACAUUUAUUGUGCGUAGCUUUCCAAUGAUGACCAUUCUGACCGCUGUGACUAGAUACCUAAUUGUGGCUCUGAUUUGCAUUUUUUAAUGAUGAGUGAGGUUGAGCAUCUUUUCAUAUCUUUGUUGAUAGGUUCCGUUUUUACUCUGGAAAUAAUCGACACUUGAACAUCAUUGUACAGUUCUCAAAAGGCUUUUUUUUUUUUUUUGGUAAUCUAAAUGAAGGCAGCAAAAAGGAGUCAUUAUCGCAGAGUACGAUCAUCAUCGUCUUCAAUUCAGGAAACUAAGUCACAGAGACUGUGUCUCUACCUGGUGCCAUCAACCCAUGGAGGGAACUGCCAGUUCCUGUGAUGGCCAGUGGAGGGAGCGACCCCAAUGCUGCUUCGACCUGCUACAGAUUCAACUGUGAUGACUGACUUCCUUCACUACAACUCCUCUGAGCAGAACACACCUAAAUAUGAAAUGAAGUGUGUGCCUGUGCAUGUGGCAGUCAUCUCCUUGCAGGGACAGUCCCCAUCAUCCCUAACCAAUCCAACUGCAGUAGGAGGACACAUAGCAUCUGGUCCCUGUUUAGAACUACUUCCUCAAUGAACGAAGCACCAGGACUCAAGGUAAAUUCUCAGUCAAUAAAGCGUAGCUCUUCAUGGACCA